AUGUCAGAAGCUAAACCAAAACUUUUAAGAUGCUUGUGUAGCAAAAUGCGUUUGGAGAUGCUCAUUUAUCUUUCAGUUACUCUGUAUAAAGUGUCAUAUUCUAUUUGGUUUUGGUUACUGGUGAUGUCUAAUUCUCCAUGCUUCUUAACAAUGAUGGCUAUGCCCAACCUGCUCAUAUUAAUCAACAAUAACAGCUCAGUUGUAUCCAGUAUUUCCUAUUCAUUGGUUAUAACAAUUGACUUGUGUGUAGGAUUCGUCCAGUAUAUAUUCUGGGAUAAACAAUGGUUUGGCGAUGCUAUUAGUUCAUGA
rnacentral:rRNA from 1 species